GGUGAACGCUGGCGGCGUGCCUAAUACAUGCAAGUCGAGCGAACGGACGAGAAGCUUGCUUCUCUGAUGUUAGCGGCGGACGGGUGAGUAACACGUGGAUAACCUACCUAUAAGACUGGGAUAACUUCGGGAAACCGGAGCUAAUACCGGAUAAUAUUUUGAACCGCAUGGUUCAAAAGUGAAAGACGGUCUUGCUGUCACUUAUAGAUGGAUCCGCGCUGCAUUAGCUAGUUGGUAAGGUAACGGCUUACCAAGGCAACGAUGCAUAGCCGACCUGAGAGGGUGAUCGGCCACACUGGAACUGAGACACGGUCCAGACUCCUACGGGAGGCAGCAGUAGGGAAUCUUCCGCAAUGGGCGAAAGCCUGACGGAGCAACGCCGCGUGAGUGAUGAAGGUCUUCGGAUCGUAAAACUCUGUUAUUAGGGAAGAACAUAUGUGUAAGUAACUGUGCACAUCUUGACGGUACCUAAUCAGAAAGCCACGGCUAACUACGU
rnacentral:rRNA from 1 species